AAGCGGCUGGCACCCGUCACAACUGCCAUAUCUCGGAUCCUCGGAUUCGCAGAACCCCGUGAAAAGAAAGUGCAUUAACUUGUUAUGCGAUGUUGGGCGAGAGGCGUCUCGCCGGAGCCCCCCGGCCCCUCGGGGUCCCCGGGGCUUCCGAAUCAAAGCGCGCACCCCAUUUUCAACCACACCAAACUCCGAAUCUGAACUCAAAAGGGAGACUGGCCCCCAGGCCGGUCGACCUCAACCUUAUAACGUUGUAAAACUUUCAGCGACGGAUGUCUUGGCUCCCACAACGAUGAAGAACGCAGCGAAAUGCGAUACGUCUUGCGACUUGCAGAAUCCAGUGAAUCAUCAAAACUUUGAACGCAUCUUGCGCUUCCGGGAUAUUCCUGGGAGCAUGCUUGUCGGAGUGUCUGUUGACACCACUCGACCGUCCCCCUUCAUCCUCCCGUAAAACGGUGCGGUGAGGGGUGGCGAGCGGACUAUGCGUGUUCCGGAGCUGCCCGCGCGCCCUCGGGUGUUCGGGCGAGCGCUCCGCGUGCACCGAAUAUUGUGAACGAAACUCUCUNCUGUUUGCGGCCUUCGUCGCGCAGAGCUGUUGACGGCGCCUGUACCCUUCACCGGGUUCCGGCGACUCUCGGCUCGAUCAAUGUGCGGUGAAGGGCCAUUCGCGACUGAGUCGUUGUCUUCGCGCCGUGCGGUCCCUGCGACCGUGCUCCGUGUUUUACUACUUUCGU
rnacentral:misc_RNA from 1 species